rnacentral:lncRNA from 1 species
CAUCCAGUUUCAAGAUCUGGACAUCCCGAAGUUCUAAUUGAUGCUGUUGCUGACUCAUCCAUUUUGGAAUAUCUUCAAUCGACACUUGUGACCGACUAUCACUGAUAACUCUUAACUGAAACUACUACUCUCAAAAAUACAAGAAAUACAAUAAAAUGGCACUCCAGCCAAUCCAAAACAAUACCACAGAAUGACUUAAAUUCGUGCCCCACUCCUA